GUUGCCUUUGCCCACCGCACAGUGUGGGAGCCCAGCCUGGAGCAGCCACUGGGGAGAACGGGGUAACUGGAACAGAACUCUAGGGCACAGCUCUGAAAAGGAGAUUUGCUGGUCCCAUCUCCAGUGCAGAUCCUUGGCCUGUGCUGCCCGGUUCAGGGUGGAGGUCUGCUCCCGGCUCUCAGGGCCUCCCUUUCUAUCUGAGUCUCCACCGAGGCGGCUCUGAGAGAACCCAGCUGACUCAGGGACAGUGGAGCAGAGGCUGGAGAGGACAGCGGUGAGCCUGGGCAGCGCCGGGUCGGGACCCCGGCAGCAGAGGCCGCGAAACCGCCCUGGAUUGGGGUUAGCUGGGAUCAGAUUCUGGAUCAAAGCAGGUGUUUUCAGAGACUCUGCAACCUGGACAGAGCUUAAGGAGGCCUCUGGGUCCAACCUACUUCUGAGCCACGGAAGACAAGUGCUUGUGGCAGCGCCACAUCAACCAAGUACAAGUAUAUCCAAGUAUAUCCACACCAUUUACCAGCAGCAGGUGCUCACUUCAUAUCUCUCUAUCAUAUUUUGGUAAUUAUCAUAAUACUUCAAACUGUUUCAUCAUUCUUAUACCUAUUACUGUAAUCUGUGAUCAUUAAUAUUUGACGUUACUUUUAUCAUUGUUGUUGGGAACCACAAACCACACCCAUGUGAGACGGCAAACUCACAUCGUUAAUGUUGGGAGUGUUCUUACUGCUUCACUGACUGGCCUUUUCCCCGUCUCUCUCCCUCUCCUCGGGGCUACGAAUUCCCUGAGACCCAGUGACGUUAAAAUCAGGCCAAUGAACCACCCAACAAUGGUCUCUAAGUGUUCAAGUAAAAAGAAGAGUUGUACAUCUCUCAUUUUAAAUCAAAAACUAGAAAUGGUUAUACUUAGUAAGGAAGGCAGGUUGAAAGCUGGGAUCGGCCAAAAGCUAGGCCUCUUGCAAGAAAUUAGCCACACUGUAAAUGCAAAGGAAAAUUCUAGGAGGAAACUGAAAGUGCUACUCCAGGGAACACAAAAAUGAUAAGAAAGAAAAACAGUCAAAUUGCUGAUAUGGACAAAGUUUUAGUAGCCUGGAUAGAAAAUCAAACCAGCCACAACAUUCCCCUAAGCCAGAGCUUAAUCCUGAGCAAGACCCUAAUUCUCUUCAAUUUUAUGAAGGCUGAGAGAGGUAAGGAAGCUACAGAAGAAAAGUUGGAAGCUAGCAGAAGUAAGUUCAUGAGGUUUAAGGAAGAAGUCACCUACAAAACAUACAAGAUGAAGCAGUAAGUACUGAUAUAGAAGCUGCAGAAGUUAUACAGAAGAUCUAGCUAAGAUAAAUGACGAAGGUGGCUGCACUAAACAAUAGAUUUUCAUUGCAGAUGAAACAGCCUUCUCUGGCAAGAAAAUAUCAUCUAGGGCUUUCAUAGCUAGAGAGGAGAAGUCAAUGCCUAGCUUCAAAGCUUCAAAGAACAGGCUGACUCUCUUGUUAGGGGCUAAUGCUGCUGGUGACUUUAAGUUGAAGCCAAUGCUCAUUUACCAUUCGGAAAAAUCCUAAGGCCUUUAAGAACGAUGCUAACUCUACUCCACCAAUGCUUUAUAAAUGAAACAGCAAAGCCUGGAUGACAGCACAUCUGUUUACAGAAUCACCUACUAAAAAUUUGAAGUAUACUUUUGAGACCUCCUGCUCAGAAAAAAAUAAAAUUCCUUUCAAACUGUUACUGCC
rnacentral:lncRNA from 10 species